rnacentral:rRNA from 1 species
AGUGAACGCUGGCGGUAGGCCUAACACAUGCAAGUCGAACGGCAGCACAGUAAGAGCUUGCUCUUACGGGUGGCGAGUGGCGGACGGGUGAGGAAUACAUCGGAAUCUACUUUUUCGUGGGGGAUAACGUAGGGAAACUUACGCUAAUACCGCAUACGACCUACGGGUGAAAGCAGGGGAUCUUCGGACCUUGCGCGAUUGAAUUAGCCGAUGUCGGAUUAGCUAGUUUGCGGGGUAAAGGCCCACCAAGGCGACGAUCCGUAGCUGGUCUGAGAGGAUGAUCAGCCACACUGGAACUGAGACACGGGCCAGACUCCUACGGGAGGCAGCAGGGGGGAAUAUUGGAGAAUGGGCGCAAGCCUGAUCCAGCCAUACCGGGUGGGUGAAGAAGGCCUUCGGGUUGUAAAGCCCUUUUGUUGGGAAAGAAAAGCAGCAGGUUAAUACCCCGCUGUUCUGACGGUACCCAAAGAAUAAGCACCGGCUAACUUCGUG